UACGGAGGGUGCAAGCGUUAUCCGGAUUCACUGGGUUUAAAGGGUGCGUAGGCGGGUAUGGAAGUCAGUGGUGAAAUCCUGGAGCUUAACUCCAGAACUGCCAUUGAUACUAUAUAUCUUGAAUAUUGUGGAGGUUUGCGGAAUAUGUCAUGUAGCGGUGAAAUGCUUAGAUAUGACAUAGAACACCUAUUGCGAAGGCAGCAGGCUACACAAAUAUUGACACUGAGGCACGAAAGCGUGGGGAUCAAACAGG
rnacentral:rRNA from 1 species